GUAAAACCCGCUGGAGGUUGGCCCCGCUAGGAACCCUACACCUCGGUAAUGAUCUUCCGUAGGGGGGACCUGCGGAAGGAUCAUUACCGAGUGUAGGGUUCCUAGCGAGCCCAACCUCCCACCCGUGUUUACUGUACCUUAGUUGCUUCGGCGGGCCCGCCAUUCAUGGCCGCCGGGGGCUCUCAGCCCCGGGCCCGCGCCCGCCGGAGACACCACGAACUCUGUCUGAUCUAGUGAAGUCUGAGUUGAUUGUAUCGCAAUCAGUUAAAACUUUCAACAAUGGAUCUCUUGGUUCCGGCAUCGAUGAAGAACGCAGCGAAAUGCGAUAACUAGUGUGAAUUGCAGAAUUCCGUGAAUCAUCGAGUCUUUGAACGCACAUUGCGCCCCCUGGUAUUCCGGGGGGCAUGCCUGUCCGAGCGUCAUUGCUGCCCAUCAAGCACGGCUUGUGUGUUGGGUCGUCGUCCCCUCUCCGGGGGGGACGGGCCCCAAAGGCAGCGGCGGCACCGCGUCCGAUCCUCGAGCGUAUGGGGCUUUGUCACCCGCUCUGUAGGCCCGGCCGGCGCUUGCCGAACGCAAAUCAAUCUUUUCCAGGUGACCUCGGAUCAGUAGUCCCA
rnacentral:rRNA from 1 species